GGCUCGGGGAGGAAGACACAGGAGUACUCUCCCCAGAGGUCGUCGGAGUCCACCCUGCAACCACAGCAGGCGGUGAGCUGGGCCCGGCUCUGCAGGACGCCUCCCGGGACCCAGGGCUCUCCAGGGGCCCAGCCACGGCACAGUGAAAAAGUCAAACUGUCCCAGUCAAGUCUGAACGUCAACAAAACUCCUGGUGUCCCCGUACGGCCCCAGGGACAGAGCCAGGCUGGCAAGACCCUCCAGGCCACUCGCGGCAAGAAAGCUGUGAGAAGGGGCACGUGGUGGCAUUCCGCGGUCCGGCACUCACUCGAAGUCCGUUUUCUGGCCGGGCAGUGUGUCCUCCUUCAGCACCGCGCCGCC